rnacentral:lncRNA from 1 species
CGGCCGCCCAGCCCCCGCUUCCUUUCACGCUAUCGGUGGCCGUAGGUGGUCGUGGCCACCGCACCCGGCGGGAGGUGGCGGCGGCCAGUAAUGCCCGGGAAACUCCUCUGGGGAGACAUCAUGGAGCUCGAGGCACCCUUGGAAGAGUCCGAGAGCCAGAGGAAGGAGCGGCAAAAGGUGCGCUGCGGCUGGGCCGCGCCUCCCUCGGGCUGCGCUGGCCUGGGCGGGGAGGGGAGCGGUCUCUGAAGGGGACGACCUGUCAGGACCGGGCGCGAGCUUCCGAGGGACAGCUUCCCCUCGCCGUGCUCGGCCCUCCGAGGUCCCAGGGACCAUCCCCAUCGCCACACUCCCGGACCUGGAGGAGAACAGACCUAGGCUUCGGCCCGGCUUCCGUGGCACUUCAGCCGGACGUCGGCCUUUGCGCCUGGAUCUCUCCCAAGAGAUGGGCAGACUUGAGCUCCCAUCGCCGUGGAAUCUGCUCAUUUUCCCUUUCUUCGGCGGCGAGUCCCUUCAUUUGGUUUUCCAGGGCCUUCGAAGAGUUGACAGAAAGAUGAUGGCUUUGCCUAUGUGUUGCUUCUCUGUCGCGGUGUCGUGUCUGCAGCAGUCUCGGGAAAGGCUAUCCUAGGGUUACAAACCUCCAUGAUUGGGUAAUAGAGGCUUAAGGAAUAGUGUCACACAGCCAGGCUUACCAGGGUUUGGCUGUGAUGGAGUUCUUGGGGGUUGUAUUAUGAAUAGCCCUUACUGUCAGUAUUUUCAAUCCACAGGUAUUUAUUGAGGCUAAUUGUGCCAGACUCUUUGCUGAGUUCCAAGGAGCUUAAACUAAUUAAGUAUGCAAAAUGGUCCCUGCCCACCAGGAGCCUGUAGAGGAAUUUUUAGAGGCUCUAUCCCCACCUCCGUCUGAAAAAUAAAAAAAGGAAGAAAAAAACAAAAAGCCCAGAAAAAUAGAGGAUCUUAAGGUGCUAAGAAAAAUGCACAGAGCUUUAUGGAUUUCGGAAUUUCGGAUAAGGGAUUAUGGACCUGUACUUCCCUGAUAGGGUUGUUAUGAAGAUUAAAACAAGAUAAGACGAAAACAUUACACAAUAAUGGAAUGAUAGAAGGAAGUCAAGGCACCAUUCUGAAUCAGAGGAGAGAACAGAAACAAGAGAAAAUGGUGUUACAGAUGACCUGGAUGCUCCCAAGCCCAAAAAAGCUAAAACGAGAGAGAAGCUAAAUGGAGACACCAAAGAAGGACUUAGAUUUUCAGAUGAAUUUUCCCCAUCUCAUAAGUCAAGAAGAAAAGACCUGCCAAAUGGAGAUGUGGAUGAGUAUGAGAAAAGGUCUAAACGAGUGUCAUCCUCAGAAAACUCUCACAAGUCAAGUGAUAAAGCAGAUGAGACUCUAACACGUGAGCAAAAGGAAGGAGCCUUCUCUAAUUUCUCCAUUUCUGAGGAGACCAUAAAGCUUCUGAAAGGUCGAGGGGUAACAUAUCUCUUUCCUAUUCAAGUUAAAACCUUUGGCCCUGUCUAUGAAGGAAAAGACUUAAUUGCUCAAGCCCGGACAGGAACAGGAAAGACAUUCUCUUUUGCCAUACCCUUGAU